CGACCUCCGAAGUUAAGCGGCACAGGGCCCGGCCAGUACUAGGGUGGGGGACCGCCUGGGAAGCCCUUCGGGUGCUGUCAGCU
rnacentral:rRNA from 1 species